rnacentral:lncRNA from 1 species
GUGUUACCUAAAAGUUAAUAAUCCAUCGAAGUAAACAAAAAGCCCAUUUACAAUCGUUGUUAAUGGUGGGAAAGCCAUCAGUGGUUCAGAUUACUGUCCCAGCCUGCCCUGUGGCCUCUUGCUGGCGGGUCUUUCCUGUUUCUUUCCAGCCUCGUUCUUAUCCAAUCAGCUGGGGUUGUGAAAAUACCAAUACCCGUCUCUGGCCAAGUCCUCACCUGCAGAUCCGGUCAGCUUGCUGGGUUCCUCAGCUGAGAAUUUGGAGCAAAGCUGACACCACUAUGACCAGGGAUAGCAGAGUAAAGAAGCCCAGUGGGUGACACUCAGUGAACCGUGCAGACAUAAGCUGUUAGUUAAUUAGUCCCUUCAAUCUCCCUCACCCUCUGUGCUGUCAGUUAACUUCCCUGACCACUGAGACCCAGUCUCCUGGGGGCCCUGUAGGUUGACUAAGGGUGCAUUUAUGCUAACCUGAUUGUUAUUUGCCGCCCCACCCCCCAGUAAGUCAUGUAAGAAUUCAGUUUUCUUCCAAAACUCAGAGAUGGGGUAUUUUGGUAUUUGGUAAUUAUAGUAUUUUCUUUUUUUCUGUUUCUUUUUCUUUUUUUUUUGAGACAGAGUUUCACUCUUGUUGCCCAGGCUGGAAUGCACUGGCACGGUCUUGGUUCACUGCAGCCUCUGCCUCCCGGGUUCAAGGGAUUCUCCUGUCUCAGCCUCCCGAGUAGUUGGGACUACAGGCGUGCGCCACCACGCCCGGCUAAUUUUUGUAUUUUUAGUAGAAAUGGGGUUUCAUCAUACUGGUCAGACUGGUCUCGAACUCCUGACCUCAGGUGAUCUGCCCACCUUGGCCUCCCAACGUGUUGGGAUUACAGGUGUGAGCCACUGCGUCUGGCCGACGCAUACUUUAAUAUUAUAAACAUCCCAAACAAUUUUUCUUGAUGUAAGGCAAAGUAUUCCAGCCUUCUCUCCGAGAACUGUGUAAUUUGUGACUAUUUCUACAAGUACCUUGUGCCGCUUGUGUUCCAGAAGCAAUACGUGCUCACUGUGGACAAACAUCAGGAAAAAAAUUCCAUCGUCCUGAGGGAAAGCCACGAUGGAUGUUUUAGUCCAUCUAUAUGUCCCACUAAAGUCACCACCUUUUUAUUUUUUCUGCGUGUACACAUUGCUUUUCAUCUUUAUACACUUGCCACUCUGCGUGUGGACAUAGACAAGCAGUGGCAGCGUGGUGUGGGCACCAUGGGGUGGGGGUUGAAAGACAUGCAGCAUCGUUGUGACCCCGCCCAGGCCUACGUCUCAUCCAGAUUCCCUGAUUAGCCCCUUGGGCACUAACAUCUGAGAAGCACGGCUCUGCAAAGGUGUCUUGUCCACUAAAUUUGUUGAAGUCAAUCCACUGAUUUCAGUCAAUCCAC